rnacentral:lncRNA from 1 species
ACAUUUUAUACGUAAAUAUUUUUGCAUCCUCAUACGAUUAUUAGGCGAAUUGUCUAGGUUAGGCAUUUCUAAAUAAAGGUGUAAACAUUCAAAAUGCUGAUAUAUACUUUCAAAAUGCCCUAUGGUUGUAACAAUUCACACUUCAACUAGCCUGAGAGUGCAUUUUUUAGGGUCCCUGUCAACAAGAAGGUUUACCAUUAUUUUUUUUCCCUGCCAAUAUGAUAAGCCAAAAGUAGAAUUUUAUUGUUUUAACUUGAAUUUUUUUGAUUGCUAGUGAAAUUAAUCAUCCUUUUUUAAAUGUCUAUUGGCCAUUUGCACUCCUUUUGUAAAAUGCAUGCUCCUGCUCUGUCUUCUUCCCUUCCCCCACUGGGGGUGUUCCUCUUUCUUUUUGCUUUGUCAGAGUUCUUUAUUAUUCAUUUUUCGUCUUAUACGUGGGAUCUGUUCGAUUCAGGCUUUCACCCUUUUACUGCCUUACAGAUUGCUAAUAUACAUUCUCCAUUGGUCUUUUAAUGUCGUUUACAGAAGCUGACUCUCUACCGCCUCCUUCUCUCCGUCCCACCCUCUCUGCCUCGCCUGCUCUGUACUGUUCUGUUCUCUUCUCUCUCUCUCCCUUUGUUUCUCUCUCUCCCUUUUUUUCUUUUCAGUGCAGAAGUUUUUAAUUUUGACCGAGCCAAAUCUAUCAAUCUAGGCCUGGCGCCGCGUCAGCAGAGGGGGCGGGGAGGCGAGCGCCGAACUGGGGGAGGGGAAGGGGCGGGGAGCAGCAGGCGGAGCGGCUGCCAGAGUUGCUGGGAGUGCGCGCGGUCGGAUCACAAGGCGGCGGAGGAGGAGGCCCAGAGACCGGAGCGCGGAGACCUCAGCCCGCGGCUUACGCCCAGGCCUUUCUCCACCGGAGGACCAGGGAACCGCAGUCUUCAUCAGAGAGGAUCUUUUUAAAGGCUCUGUUUUUGUUUUGGAUUUUCUUCAUCUACUGUUGAUCCAAGAUUUAUCCAUUUAUUCAUCAUUGAAUCAAGAAGGGUAUAUCCUAACCUGCUAUCCCUCCCCCUCUAACAAGAGUGGAACAAUUUUUUUGUAUCCAUGCACUGUUUACUGGGUUGUCACCCCAUCCAACAAGAGUGGAUCAGUUUUUUUGUAUCCAUUCCCUGUGUACUGGGUUGUCACCCCCUCCCAAUGGCUCUGUGAUCCAGCAAGAUGUGGUAGUAGGGAGGGAGCUAGUGCCAGGGGCAAACCCAACAGGAUGACUUCACCCUCAAGACAGCUUUCCUCAUUUGCUUUUGGCCUCUGUUUCAGGUACGUGAUAUCAUAUAUACUUUCACUACUUGUAUGGGAGGAGAGGGGCAGGAGGGGGCAGAUAUGCAACUUGGAAACAAAACCUGUUGGUUCAUUAAAGGGGACUCUUGCAUCAAGUUUAGAUCACCAUGCUAGUUGA